GAUGAACGCUGGCGGCGUGCCUAAUACAUGCAAGUCGAGCGAACAGACGAGGAGCUUGCUCCUCUGACGUUAGCGGCGGACGGGUGAGUAACACGUGGAUAACCUACCUAUAAGACUGGGAUAACUUCGGGAAACCGGAGCUAAUACCGGAUAACAUGUUGAACCGCAUGGUUCAACAGUGAAAGACGGUCUUGCUGUCACUUAUAGAUGGAUCCGCGCCGCAUUAGCUAGUUGGUAAGGUAACGGCUUACCAAGGCAACGAUGCGUAGCCGACCUGAGAGGGGGAUCGGCGACACUGGAACUGAGACACGGUCCAGACUCCUACGGGAGGCAGCAGUAGGGAAUCUGCCGCAAUGGGCGAAAGCCUGACGGAGCAACGCCGCGUGAGUGAAGAAGGUCUUCGGAUCGUAAAACUCUGUUAUUAGGGAAGAACAAAUGUGUAAGUAACUAUGCACGUAUUGACGGUACCUAAUCAGAAAGCCACGGCUAACUACGUG
rnacentral:rRNA from 1 species